rnacentral:rRNA from 1 species
UUGACCUCGGAUCAGGUAGGGAUACCCGCUGAACUUAAGCAUAUCAAUAAGCGGAGGAAAAGAAACCAACAGGGAUUACCUCAGUAACGGCGAGUGAAGCGGUAACAGCUCAAAUUUGAAAUCUGGCCUCACGGUCCGAGUUGUAAUUUGUAGAGGAUGCUUCGAGCAUGGUCUGGCCUAAGUUCCUUGGAACANGACGUCAUAGAGGGUGAGAAUCCCGUAUGCNGGCAGGUGCCUACGCUCAUGUGAAGCUCCUUCGACGAGUCGAGUUGUUUGGAAUGCAGCU